UCUAUGGCCAUGCCACCCUGUGUCUGAUCUCUGAAGCUAAGCAGGGUCAGGCAUGGUUAGUACUUGGAUGGGAGACCACCAAGGAAGAUCAGGUGCUGUUAGGC
rnacentral:rRNA from 1 species